AAGUCGUAACAAGGUUUCCGUAGGUGAACCUGCGGAAGGAUCAUUACCAAAACAUGCGAACCCGGUUCAGGCCGUGGUAAGCUUCAACCCUUUGUGAACCAAAAAACCUUUUCGCUUCGGUUAGCAGGGAGCGGUUGCGGGUAAAACCCAACCAAUCCCGUAAGCCUUCCGGCAGCACCAAUUAAACCUGUCGUCAAAUAUUGUCUGAAUACCAUAUUUUCGAAUGAAAAUUAAAACUUUCAACAACGGAUCUCUUGGUUCUC
rnacentral:misc_RNA from 1 species